CCUACGGGUGGCUGCAGUGGGGAAUAUUGGACAAUGGGCGAAAGCCUGAUCCAGCCAUGCCGCGUGUGUGAAGAAGGCCUUCGGGUUGUAAAGCACUUUCAGUGGGGAAGAAAGCCUUGGGGCUAAUACCCUCGAGGAAGGACAUCACCCACAGAAGAAGCACCGGCUAACUCCGUGCCAGCAGCCGCGGUAAUACGGAGGGUGCGAGUGUUAAUCGGAAUUACUGGGCGUAAAGCGCGCGUAGGCGGUCUGAUAAGCCGGUUGUGAAAGCCCCGGGCUCAACCUGGGAACGGCAUCCGGAACUGUCAGGCUAGAGUGCAGGAGAGGAAGGUAGAAUUCCCGGUGUAGCGGUGAAAUGCGUAGAGAUCGGGAGGAAUACCAGUGGCGAAGGCGGCCUUCUGGACUGACACUGACGCUGAGGUGCGAAAGCGUGGGUAGCAAACAGGAUUAGAUACCCGAGUAGUC
rnacentral:rRNA from 1 species